UAACCAUCCUUUUCUUGGGGUUGCGCUACUGUCCAAUGAGCGCAAAGUGAGGGCAGUACUGCUAACGCC
rnacentral:snRNA from 1 species